GACAGAGGAUGCAAGCGUUAUCCGGAAUGAUUGGGCGUAAAGCGUGCGCAGGCGGUUUUGUAAGUCUGUCGUGAAAUCCCCGGGCUCAACCUGGGAAUUGCGAUGGAGACUGCAAGGCUAGAAUCUGGCAGAGGGGGGUAGAAUUCCACGUGUAGCAGUGAAAUGCGUAGAGAUGUGGAGGAACACCGAUGGCGAAGGCAGCCCCCUGGGCCGGCCCUGACACUGAGACGCGAAGGCGUGGGGAGCGAACGGG
rnacentral:rRNA from 1 species